AUUGAACGCUGGCGGCAGGCCUAACACAUGCAAGUCGAACGGUAACAGGAAGAAGCUUGCUUCUUUGCUGACGAGUGGCGGUCGGGUGAGUAAUGUCUGGGAAACUGCCUGAUGGAGGGGGAUAACUACUGGAAACGGUAGCUACUACCGCAUAAUGUCGCAAGACCAAAGAGGGGGACCUUCGGGCCUCUUGCCAUCGGAUGUGCCCAGAUGGGAUUAGCUAGUAGGUGGGGUAACGGCUCACCUAGGCGACGAUCCCUAGCUGGUCUGAGAGGAUGACCAGCCACACUGGAAGUGAGACACGGUCCAGACUCCUACGGGAGGCAGCAGUGGGGAAUAUUGCACAAUGGGCGCAAGCCUGAUGCAGCUAUGCCGCGUGUAUGAAGAAGGCCUUCGGGUUGUAAAGUACUUUAAGCGGGGAGGAAGGGAGUAAAGUUAAUACCUUUGCUCAUUGACGUUACCCGCAGAAGAAGCACCGGCUAACUCCGUG
rnacentral:rRNA from 1 species